UGCAAGUAUGCUGAAAAUAAGGAUCGGCUAACUCCGUGCCAGCAGCCGCGGUAAUACGGAGGAUCCGAGCGUUAUCCGGAUUUAUUGGGUUUAAAGGGUGCGCAGGCGGCUUUUUAAGUCAGUGGUUAAAUCGUGAGGCUCAACCUCAUCACGCCAUUGAUACUGGAGAGCUUGAUUGCGGUUGAGGUUGGCGGAAUUCGUCGUGUAGCGGUGAAAUGCAUAGAUAUGGCGAAGAACUCCGAUUGCGUAGGCAGCUGACCAGGCCGUAAAUGACGCUCAUGCACGAAAGUGCGGGGAUCGAACAGGAUUAGAUACCCUG
rnacentral:rRNA from 1 species